rnacentral:rRNA from 1 species
GUUUCCAGUGGCGAACGGGUGAGUAACGCGUAAGAACCUGCCCUUGGGAGGGGAACAACAACUGGAAACGGUUGCUAAUACCCCGUAGGCUGAGGAGCAAAAGGAGAAAUCCGCCCAAGGAGGGGCUCGCGUCUGAUUAGCUAGUUGGUGAGGUAACAGCUUACCAAGGCGAUGAUCAGUAGCUGGUCCGAGAGGAUGAUCAGCCACACUGGGACUGAGACACGGCCCAG